rnacentral:rRNA from 1 species
UUAUCAACUUUCGAUGGUAGGAUAGAGGCCUACCAUGGUGGUAACGGGUAACGGGGUGUUAGGGCACGACACCGGAGAGGGAGCCUGAGAAACGGCUACCACAUCCAAGGAUGGCAGCAGGCGCGCAAAUUACCCAAUCCCGACACGGGGAGGUAGUGACAAUAAAUAACAAUACGGGGUCCUUUCGGGUUUCGUAAUUGGAAUGAGUACAAUUUAAAUCUCUUAACGAGGAACAAUUGGAGGGCAAGUCUGGUGCCAGCAGCCGCGGUAAUUCCAGCUCCAAUAGCGUAUAUUAAAGUUGUUGCAGUUAAAAAGCUCGUAGUUGAAUUUCGGGAUUAGUGCGCCGGUCGUGCCUUCGGUAUGUACUGGUGUUACUGGUUCCUACCUUCUGACGAACCGUCAUGUCAUUAAUUUGGUGUGGCGGGGAAUCAGGACUGUUACUUUGAAAAAAUUAGAGUGUUUAAAGCAGGCUCGCGCUUGAAUACAUUAGCAUGGAAUAAUGAAAUAGGACGUUCGAUCCUAUUUUGUUGGUUUCUAGGAUUGACGUAAUGAUUAAUAGGGAUAGUUGGGGGCAUUAGUAUUCAAUUGUCAGAGGUGAAAUUCUUGGAUUUAUUGAAGACUAACUACUGCGAAAGCAUUUGCCAAGGAUGUUUUCAUUAAUCAAGAACGAAAGUUAGGGGAUCGAAGACGAUCAGAUACCGUCGUAGUCUUAACCAUAAACUAUGCCGACUAGGGAUCGGAUGAUGUUAUUUUUAAUGACUCAUUCGGCGCCUUACGGGAAACCAAAGUGUUUGGGUUC